UACAGAGGGUGCGAGCGUUAAUCGGAAUUACUGGGCGUAAAGCGCGCGUAGGCGGCUUUGCAAGUCGGGUGUGAAAUCCCCAGGCUUAACCUGGGAACUGCAUUCGAGACUGCAUUGCUAGAGUAUGGGAGAGGGAAGUGGAAUUCCUGGUGUAGCGGUGAAAUGCGCAGAUAUCAGGAGGAACACCGGUGGCGAAGGCGGGUCUCUGGGCCGAUAUUGACGCUGAGGAGCGAAAGCGUGGGGAGCGAACAGG
rnacentral:rRNA from 1 species